UACGUAGGGGGCGAGCGUUAUCCGGAUUUACUGGGCGGAAAGCGCGUUAAGGCGGUUUGCAAAGUUGGUUGUGAAAUCUCAGGGCUCAACCCUGAAAUUGCGACCAAUACUGGUCGACUAGAGUGCAAGAGAGGAAGGUGGAAUUCCCGGUGUAGUAGUGAAAUGCGUAGAUAUCGGGAGGAACACCAGUGGCGAAGGCGGCCUUCUGGCUUGUAACUGACGCUGUAGCGCGAAAGCGUGGGGAGCGAACCGA
rnacentral:rRNA from 1 species